rnacentral:rRNA from 1 species
CCUACGGGAGGCAGCAGUGGGGAAUAUUGCACCAUGGGGGAAACCCUGAUGCAGCGACGCCGCGUGAGUGAAGAAGUAUUUCGGUACGUAAAGCUCUAUCAGCAGGGAAGAAAAUGACGGUACCUGACUAAGAAGCCCCGGCUAACUACGUGCCAGCAGCCGCGGUAAUACGUAGGGGGCAAGCGUUACCCGGAUUUACUGGGAGUAAAGGGAGCGUAGACGGCAGCGCAAGUCUGGAGUGAAAUCCCAUGGCUUAACCAUGGAACGGCUUUGGAAACUGUGCAGCUAGAGUGCAGGAGAGGUAAGCGGAAUACCUAGUGUAGCGGUGAAAUGCGUAGAUAUUAGGAGGAACACCGGUGGCGAAGGCGGCUUACUGGACUGUAACUGACGUUGAGGCUCGAAAGCGUGGGGAGCAAACAGGAUUAGAUACCCCAGUAGUC